GCCAAUUGGUUUUAGGUUGGAAGC
rnacentral:siRNA from 1 species